rnacentral:lncRNA from 1 species
GCGUUAAAAUUAAUUUUUAACAACACAGAGUUUGCUUAGCUGACCCAAGUUGCCAAAACUGCAUUCGCCAUGAGGCUUGCUCAGAUGAAGAGCACCACUGCAGGGAGUGCACUGCAGU